rnacentral:rRNA from 1 species
UUUAUGGAGAGUUUGAUCCUGGCUCAGAGUGAACGCUGGCGGCGUGCCUAAUACAUGCAAGUCGAACGAUGAAGCUUCUAGCUUGCUAGAAUGCUGAUUAGUGGCGCACGGGUGAGUAACGCAUAGGUUAUGUGCCUCUUAGUUUGGGAUAGCCAUUGGAAACGAUGAUUAAUACCAGAUACUCCCUACGGGGGAAAGAUUUAUCGCUAAGAGAUCAGCCUAUGUCCUAUCAGCUUGUUGGUAAGGUAAUGGCUUACCAAGGCUAUGACGGGUAUCCGGCCUGAGAGGGUGAACGGACACACUGGAACUGAGACACGGUCCAGACUCCUACGGGAGGCAGCAGUAGGGAAUAUUGCUCAAUGGGGGAAACCCUGAAGCAGCAACGCCGCGUGGAGGAUGAAGGUUUUAGGAUUGUAAACUCCUUUUGUUAGAGAAGAUAAUGACGGUAUCUAACGAAUAAGCACCGGCUAACUCCGUGCCAGCAGCCGCGGUAAUACGGAGGGUGCAAGCGUUACUCGGAAUCACUGGGCGUAAAGAGCGCGUAGGCGGGAUAGUCAGUCAGGUGUGAAAUCCUAUGGCUUAACCAUAGAACUGCAUUUGAAACUACUAUUCUAGAGUGUGGGAGAGGUAGGUGGAAUUCUUGGUGUAGGGGUAAAAUCCGUAGAGAUCAAGAGGAAUACUCAUUGCGAAGGCGACCUGCUGGAACAUUACUGACGCUGAUUGCGCGAAAGCGUGGGGAGCAAACAGGAUUAGAUACCCUGGUAGUCCACGCCCUAAACGAUGGAUGCUAGUUGUUGGAGGGCUUAGUCUCUCCAGUAAUGCAGCUAACGCAUUAAGCAUCCCGCCUGGGGAGUACGGUCGCAAGAUUAAAACUCAAAGGAAUAGACGGGGACCCGCACAAGCGGUGGAGCAUGUGGUUUAAUUCGAAGAUACACGAAGAACCUUACCUAGGCUUGACAUUGAGAGAAUCCGCUAGAAAUAGUGGAGUGUCUGGCUUGCCAGACCUUGAAAACAGGUGCUGCACGGCUGUCGUCAGCUCGUGUCGUGAGAUGUUGGGUUAAGUCCCGCAACGAGCGCAACCCCCUUUCUUAGUUGCUAACAGGUCAUGCUGAGAACUCUAAGGAUACUGCCUCCGUAAGGAGGAGGAAGGUGGGGACGACGUCAAGUCAUCAUGGCCCUUACGCCUAGGGCUACACACGUGCUACAAUGGGGUGCACAAAGAGAAGCAAUACUGCGAAGUGGAGCCAAUCUUCAAAACACCUCUCAGUUCGGAUUGUAGGCUGCAACUCGCCUGCAUGAAGCUGGAAUCGCUAGUAAUCGCAAAUCAGCCAUGUUGCGGUGAAUACGUUCCCGGGUCUUGUACUCACCGCCCGUCACACCAUGGGAGUUGUGUUUGCCUUAAGUCAGGAUGCUAAAUUAGCUACUGCCCACGGCACACACAGCGACUGGGGUGAAGUCGUAACAAGGUAACCGUAGUGACACCUGCGGUUGGAUCACCUCCU